ACAACUCAGUUUAGGGUAACCUGACUCAAAACAAAGGUUCAAAAAUAAGUCAAGGAAAUUAAAGUGGCCGGAUGACAUGUUUUAACAGCACAUGAAGCCUCACAUCUCACACUUGCACUCCUUCGUUACUGCCUUGUUACUACUAAUGCUUAACACUACACUUUGCUUUCCCAGCUUGGAGGCUGCAAAUGAUGGACAAAGACCCAAAGAAGAGAAUAAGACCCAAGUGGUUCAGAGAAGUCAGGUGCUAGAAAGUUCUGGGGUGCACAGCCACGUGAUCAGCUCCUAAUUCCCUCCCUCAGUUCUAAUUGACAACCUGAAGGGAUAUGAUUAUCCUGCUCUAUCUUCUCUGCCCACCUGCCUCCCGUUGUUCUGGUCUGUCUGCCUUUCCCAUUCAAGCCUUGGGACAUGGAAGAACAAAGACAAGUUGACUGCGAAGACCCUCCCCAGUGCACUCCUGGGUACAGCCUCUGAAUGUUGUGAUUCUUUGGUUGCUACUUUUGAAAAGGAUAAUUCAAUCUCAAGCACAGCAUUAGAGAGAUCCAGAACAAUUUGGAAUGUCUCUGUCCAGGCCAGAGAAAUGCUGUCGAGAGAGGAAAAGAAAAGACUGUGCCUGUGCCCGAAAUCUGUUCUACACCUUCUAGUGGGAAGAGAAUUUUCCCCUAAGCCAGCCCCAUGAAAAUACGCUCACUGAAAGCCAGUGGCUUCUCUAACUACUCAUCAAGACAGAUCUGGAAGAUUGGGACCCAGGUAGAGGGAGCCCCGCCUGGACUCAACCCCCGCAAAAGGAUUUGCGCAGAGUUCCUGAGUAAACAGCAAAAGAACGAGCUACAGCCUUAGCCAUAUCUUGAGGACAGAGUCACAUCUCCUGUGAUAAUCCCUUCUCCAAGGAAAGGCAGGAAACCAAGUCUCAGACUUUGGCAUCCUUGCAGUUUUUGUUAUCCACCUGCCGCCAAGAAGAAAGAAAGGAGGGAUGCAGCAAUUUCUCAGCCAUAUCCUGCCAUUUUUACAGCCCCGCACCUUCUUCCCUUUCCACCUCUGUGCUGGUCUUUUUCCCUUCCCCCAGGCAAAAGUAAAUACACCUUUUCUUCCUAUCCUAAUCUCUGUCUGGAUAAAUCUUUCUCAAAACCCAAGUGCACCGGCAACGCCACCCUACAACCUCUACUCUAAAGGAACAGUCCCUUGAGUUUCAGCCAACGAGGAGGCAAAGCAGGAUCUGACAAAUGACAGCAAGACAAGAAAAUGGGCCAGAAAAAAGAGGUGACAGAUGCCCAGACGAAUUUCACCCACUUCGUGAUUUUGCUUAAAACAAGGUUGAAGAUGCCUCAUUUUUUUAAACACGAACAUAAGCACUGACCCCAUCAUAAUGUCGACUCAGAUGGUGCCAUAUUAUGAACCUCACAGAAAGCAGUGGUUCGCUAUCUUGAGCACGCAACAAAAUCAGCCCGAGGGUUUCUGCCGAGUCUCAUGCCCGGAGUUCUGAUGCAGUACAUUUGGGUGGGAUCAGGAAUUUGCAUUUCUCGGGUAGGGCUGAUGCUCUGAGUCCGGACACCACGCUUUGAAAACCACCGGCCUAAAUAACAGCUCAUAUAUUUUUUCUCUCGCUUCUAUGCCAUUUUCAUUAGCAUCCGAAUUAGUAAAACAGCUCAGAGGGCCUAUGGACGCUCACGCUCAUACCAUCCGAAGAGGCUCAUUUCAUUCAACACCUGCAUUUUUUCAAGUGAAGGGAUGAAGGUCUAGAAAAAAAUGAAGUUCUUUGCCCAAGGUCACAUAACCAGUUAGUGACAAAGUUGUGGCAAGAAUUCCUAAUUCCUGACUCCUUUCUAGUUCUCUUUUAUUAUCAAGGGAGAGACUUGAAGCACAGAAAAAGGGAAAGUUUGGCAGAAGUGAGUGAGAACAAUGCAGACCACGAGAGUGAGAUCUAAUUGCAUCAAGCUAAUGUGUAUUUUUUGAAAAAUAUCAGCAAGACUGUCUCUAUAGCUACGACUCCUUGCCUAAUGGAAGGAGACAAGUGGGCAUGAGCUAAGCCAGUCAUGGGAGCUAUCACCACCCGAAAGUAUUUACAGAGCAGCUGCAUGAGCUCUUCACCUCUGGGCUGAGUGCAGGGCAGCCGUGGUAAUGGGAGAUUACAAAAGGAGGGCCCCGAGUAAAAAAUGUGCUAAUGGUGUUUGGGAGCAGAGGCUUCAGGCCAGGGAAAGAAUGCCUCACCCCUCCCCACUCACAGUGCUUGCUUGGAUGCUUAUUUUCUUAUAGUGACUUCAGGGGCUCUUAUUUCUUAUAAAGAGUUUGGAUAAAGUCCAGAAUUUUGCCUGGCCUCUACAGCCCUGCAGAACUGGACUCCAGUCUUCUGGCGUCAUGGCCACCCCUCCUCUGCAAAUACUCUCUGCUCCAGUCGGGGUGGUCUCCCCAGCACCCCAGGACUCUUCUUGAAAGACCCCUGAGACAAGAAAUGUAUUUACUUAUCCAGAGCCUGCCUUACACAGCUCUCCGUCUCUUUGAAAAAGAAACCAAGACCUGGAGAGGUUAGUGAAUUUCCCAAGGUUGGCAGACAAGCGUAGGAUUAGAGUUGGGUUUGCUGACCCGAGCCUACUGUCUUCUCCCUCAUCCUAUACUAGUUACCACGGUGGGUUAACUUUGUGGGAACAGCAUCUUCACUGCUUCCUCAAUGACACCAUAAGUCCCUGAAGAGUCAAAAUUUCGUGUUCCAUUCUGUUGUAUCCUCCACCGAGCCCAGCACGGGGCUUUGUGUACAGGAGAUGACUGACAUUUACCAUUUGACAAGGAUCCCUUCACCAUGGUCAAGACCUGGCAGAAAGUUAAGCCUGGGAGCUGACUUCAAUGGUGAGGGCCCAGAGAACAAGAGACGGGGAACAGGACCAUCCUCAUAUAGGGACAGAGUCCAUGGGCCUUUGUCUUUUCCCUGAUGCCCAGUUUCAAGUGAUACCAAUCACAUAAUGAAUCAGUAACGGUGUGGUAGGAAGGCAGUUCCUUAGUCUGCACCAUCUGGCCCUGGAUAGAGAGGUCCUCCAUAGUCGCCGGUAGUGUUCCACGCCCUAUGUGGCUCUAUCCUGGUCCACUCCCUCUGUCAUUCUCCCGAGUCUCCACCUCAAAGUCCCUCCACACCUUCGAAUCCCAGUUCCUGCCCUGCCCAUUGCCUGGCGCCUGACAGGUGUUGAACAACUGCUGAACAGAUGGAUGAAUGAAUGAAUGAAACGGUGUGGUCAGGAUCUGAAUCGAGUGUAAAUUGUUAAAAGUUAAACCUAACAAAUGUUGAUGUAUAAGUAGUUGAUGGAAAAGCUAUGAUAGCUUUGUACCCUGGCAACUUCUGCUAUAGUCCUGUGAGUUAAAAUAUUUAGGUUAUUAUGUAGGAAAUCUCUGAUUACCUUAAAUACUAAGUUUGACCAUUGAUAUCUCUGACAUUUCACUUUGACACUUCUUGUUUUAUUUUUAUUGUGAA